GCGCCGGGUCGGGAGCGGGGCCCGGUGGAGCGGCGGCCGCAGGGGAGAGGCUGGGGUUGUCAGGGGAAGGCCUGGAGUCCUCCAGGGACGGUUCGGUGUUCGCAGUGGACGGGCUGGGGUCCGCAGGACAGUUUUUGGCUCAGACCACAGCUACUUUCUCUUUUCCUGAGAUGAUAUAAGAGACAAGAGGCAAUAACAGCUCAAGUCUCUGCAGGACACAGUUUUGUAAUGGUCUUUAUGCAUGUGCAUUUACUUCCUCUAUAAAAACCUUGUCUACUAAAAAAAUACCUGUGUGACCCUGAGAAAGAAUUUUCCUCCAGCAAGAUUUGUCCUGCAUCUUCCAGCUUCUGUAAAAGACCCCUGCAUAGGAAGAUAAAUCACAGCAGUCCCAGCAGCAGUAGAGCUGCAGUCGGCAGAACAAAUCACAGUGGAUUUCUUGAGGUAAAUCUGCAAAUAAAAGAGAGCUGUGCUCUUGUUUCCUUCUAGGCAUUUACAAAACUCAAUAGCACAAAUAUAAGCAUCUAAUAUUUGAAACAGAAAAUCACUCAGCUGAUGGAGGGAUCAGGAGCUAAUGAAGCAGGAAAGCUACUAAGUGAAAAUGAAUAGAGCUUCACUGGCAUUUGAUUUAUAAUUUCACCCAACAGAGGUUAUUACAAAGAUACUUCAUAAGAGAUCUCUGCUUAGGGGGUAUGCAGUUUCAGGAAGAGAUUUGGUUUUGAUAUUUUCAGUCCAGAGGAGUAUUUUUAUUACCUGAAAGUUAAAAAAUACAUAGGAUCAGUGUCUUUGCCAACAUCUUGCUCAAAAAAGCAAGCAAUCAAACUUGCUCCAAAUCCUGUACAGGUCUUGAUAACAUAAAGCGCUUUGAUGGUAAUUUCUUCUCCAAAUUAUGAAUGUAUUUCACAAAGAUUAAAAGCAACAUUUCCCAAAGCUUAUCUGAAGGUAAAUAAUCAGGGAGCCAGCUAGAUGGGAAUACAGAGACUUCAAAGAAGGUGAAUUGGUACACUUUUAUUACACAUUUACUUGUGCUUGGGUAUCCAGUCUGUAAUUAGGAUGACAUUAUAUAAGAAGCAUAGAGGCAGAUUAAUUGUUUUUCAUAUCUGUUGACCGAAUGGUGAUCAAAGGUGUGAUGCACAUGCUAGGUUAAAAAAUUCUUUUAUGUUUUUUUUGUUGCUUUUUGUUGGGUUUUUUUUGUUUGUUUAGUUUGUUUCUUGAUGUUUUCUUUGUUUGGUUUUGGUUUGGUUUUGUUUUUCCUAAAUGACAGAGCAUUCUGGGUAAAGGAAAGUUGAGGGUUUGGGGUUCAUUUUCCCCUCAUAACUGAUAAUUCACCAGAAACAGUGUUUUGUAGAAACAAGUUUAUAGCUUUCUCAAGUCAGGUCCACCAACCAGUUUGGAGUCCUGGAGCUGUGGCUGGGCAGUUCACUUCUCUCGUCUUGAGAUGAAAUGAAUGUCUAGCAACAGCUCUCUUUGCCACCCUAGAAGAAAUACAACAAUAUCUCACCUAUGCUUUGUUCUCCAUUUUUCUACUUGCCAAAAGAAAAAAAGAAAGGCCAAGCAUAGGAAAAUUUGGUGGAGAAUGCUUUAUGUACUGAGUCACAGACACCAGUGCAAGUAUUUUAGCUGUUUGGAGGCUACACACUCAGGCAGUAACAGUGUAGGUCAACCAGAAUGAAAUUAUUUUUUGCCAGAAGAUGAAACCUUAGAAAGGUAAAGUUUGUGUCAUAAUUUAAGAUUUUUUUCCUCCUAUAAUUAGGAUUUUUUUUCAGGAAUGAUACAAGUUUUGAUGAUAGUUAUCCAAGGUAAAAACAUACAGACUAGGCAGCUGUUCCAGGAAAACCUUGUGAUGGCAGAGGAAAUGCACAUACCCACCCCGAAACAUUCACAUUUCAACACACCCCUAUGUGCUCCAGAUAUUAAAACUAUCAAAAUAUUGUAAAACCUUUUGUGUUUUGAGAAAUCCAAAUUUGUACACUAUGGUUAAGGGGAUACCUUUCAAACAUAGUUAUAAAUUAUUAUAUUUUGCAACAGUUUUCUACUGUUGGAAAAAAAAAAUACAUUAUAUCCACACCUGACAAAAAAAGGCUGGCUACGUUUCUAAGGAGAAGGGUGCUGAGAAGUCUGCCCUCUGACACAGCGGUAACUGCAACCACAAUAGAAUUCUUCCCAGGCCAGCACGUGAAAUAAGUGAGCAUUUAAAUGUAAUUUCUAAUGCACACUUUUCAGCAGAUGAAAACCAUUAUGCAGGCUAGCAUGACUGCUAAUCUUUUCCAAGCCUAGGGAAGCAGUGAGCAUAAAUCAUCCAUAAAAUGCUUUGGCAUAAGUUUGCAAGACAACUAAAAGACUAUGUGUAAUUUCAGCUUCAACUAACAUCCUUGUCUUCUCUCCUUAAUGCACUACAAAAUAAAAAUUGUAAGAUAACAUUUAGAGUACAAUCACUUCUUAAAAUUUAAUUUAGAAAUGGGAGAAACAUUGAUUUUAGAAUUUUACAAAUUAAAAUAAUAUUUUACCUAUGUUUAUAACUCAAUGUGGAUCUUUUUAGACCUGUUUUAAAACAUUUCAUGCAGCAAAAUGGUUGUAACAUAGAAUUUCAAAGACAAAUUCAAUGCCUAAGCGGUUUUGCAGGGCUAAAUACUAUGAAUUUAUUAUUUUAAUUAAAUUUUUUAUCUCAUUAUUCCAAACACACUUAAAUUUGAGUGCUAUGCAUAUAUAGUACACUUGAUAAAUUUUUGACAUCCCUUUUUUAAGCACAGCAGAUAUCCUUCAUAAACUGUGUAUGUUGCAUUAGAUAUCUAAUCUGAUAAGAGUUUAAUUACUUAGAUAAGGGCAAUUCUCUCCUUGCUUACAACUGUGUAACACUAAAGUGGUUUUAUGUGUUAUUAUAGUCUUUAAAUGCUAAUUUCAAAAUCUUUUUCCUCAGCACAGCCGUUGACUUGGGAAAUACAGUAACAUGGGUAGCCUAUGUACCUAACCCUAAAUCUAAACCCUAAUGCUAAUCCUAGAAACUCUCCUAGCAAUAGAGCUUCUACUCUAUUAUAAAUAUUAAGUGGGGGCUGAGCAAGAUUUUCAAACAUCAGUUCUGGACCAAAUUUAAUGAUUUUUUUGUGAAAUAGAUAGGUCCAGAAAUCUAGCAUAUUAAUUGGAAACAUUCCCCACGUGUAAUGUUAGACAAAAUACAUGAAUGAGUCUCUUCUACGCUCUCCUAGUUUCCAUCAGAAAUAUGUGACAGGAGCAUGCCAAGCUUUUAUAUCAGGGUGCAUUUGUGUAAGUGCUCAUCUAGCUGUGGCUGCUCUGAGUCUUGCCCUGGGUAGCAUUUUCUUUUGAUAGAAUAAAUUAAACUUUAAAUAAUGCAGAUCUAUGUGUAAACCAAAUAUUUGAAAUGUCUUUGUCCCUUGCUCAAGAGAGUCAGGUUAGCCUGCAGAAGUUGCUUAUUUCCUUAAUGUAUCAUAUGCCUGAAUCUUGAUAAAAAGAAAAGUAAAGGUAGGAUAGAUAAAAGCACAUGCUACUUUACAUGGGACUAAAAACUUUUUCUUUAAUCUUCUUUCAAUCCACUAUUUUUAUGCUUUAACACAAUAGAAUUAUAAGGAGAAAGACCACAUCCACACACUAAAUAAGAGAAAUCAAAUGCAUAGGAUUCUUCCACACAGAGUGGCAAAGUGCUGACUGACAUAACAUUCCUUUUGCACAGCUAACUGUAUCACAGACAGCAAGUAAGAAACAUAUGGAUUUUCAUGAAACUGAAAUUUCAUGAAACUGACUGAACUUCAUCUAGAAUGGCAAGCCUUAAAGUAAAUAGACAAAGACAAAUUAAACAGAAGAAAAAAUAUGUUCCUUUGGCAGAAAAUCAAAUUUAUGAAAAAGCCAAGAACAGCUUGAGAGCCAAUUUCAUGCUAAUAAGCAAAUGCUAUUGAAGUAUGAAGUUUUAUAAAAGAUUUUCAGAGAGGUACUUCAUAUAUCUCACUGGAUUUGGAAAGUAAUUAUUAUUUAUCCCCACUUCAGAGACAAUGCAAAUGAAGUCACAAAACUGCUUGUCCCCAGGACAUAUUGGAUAACAAUAGUGUUGUUUAAUCCUUUCUCUUCAAGGUUGCCAUAUACUACCCUUAAGUAUGCUCUAGCUUGCAAAGUUCUGGUCAGAACAAAGAUAUUUUUUCUCCUGGGCAUUUUUGAAAAUUUGGUAAGUUUCUGUACUGAAUUCUCUGUUUUUAUUAAAGGCAAUUCAUGUCAGGAGUCUAUCACCAUACCAGCUACUCCACUCAGCUGUAAACCAGUGGUAUAUGUGGUAUAUGAGAAUUAUGAUCCUGAUACAUACUCAGUGCAUUUUAUUGACUAUUCUGUAAAUCAUAUGCAUUUCAGGAGCAAAUUAGGACACAAGAGCAAUCUGGGAACCUCUAUCUGAGGUAGUAACCUGCUUUCCCAGGAGCACUGGAGUUUGAAGGAGAUGAUGAGAUCAUCACUAAGUAAAUCACUGAGUAAAUUCAGCCUGUCCAUUCCUUCCUUUGACCAUGUCUCCUCUUGAGAAAGAAUGCAACUUGGCUUCUGUUUUACCCAGGACAGGUAUGUUUGAAAAUUUGGUUAUUUCAUGAAGGAACAGUUGGUAAGUUUCUGGCAGUUGCAUCACUUAAACUCAUUCUUCCUUCCCUUUCCCCAUCAAUUUUAGUACAAAAGGGGAAGUGUUUUCUAAUGUGUUCUUCAUCUUUUCCCCUGGCCUGAACGUUGAUCUCCUGUUGAGACAUAACUGCUACAUUCCUCUUCUGCAAUGCUAACGGAAGAAUUACUCAACUAGAAGCUCUCUGGAAAAAUUCCAAAGGUGCUGUGAGGUAAGGUCUCAUGCUCUGAAGCCACAAAAUGGAUUGCACAGGAAAAAAACUGAAACAUAAUUUCGUCUCAUGCAGUUCUUGAUUAAUUGCAGUCUAGCUUACUAUUGCACUAGUGACAUCCUUAAGGGCUCUUGACUUAGAAAUACAGCAGAUGGCAAGAAGAUGCUCACCUUCUCUGUACAAUCAGUUAAAAACAUAACAUGUUUCUUCUAUAAGGACUCCUUUUCAAACAGUGAAAAAUAAUUUAUAGCAAUUUGUCAAUCCUUUCUGAGCUCCUGCUCUAUGUCUUUCAGCAGCUGCAAAUUGCUGCCACUCAAAUUAUUUCCUUCCUUUUUCAUACCAAGAUUGCAACAGGCUAGGUGAUCAAAAAACAGAAAUACUUCUGGGCCAAUAUCAUAGCCUCAGAGUAGGCAUUUGACUCUUAAACAUUGUUUUGUGUAAUGCAGAGACAUCCAUCUUAAUUGCUAUGGUUUUUUGCUGGGAAAGCAUUUUGAAGUUCAGAAUAAACUUUCCAGGGAAUCAAAACUGGUUCUAGGAGCUAGUUAAUUUUUUUUUUUUUACUGAAAUGUAAGAAUAUUUAUUAUGCUUUAAUUCCAGCUGAGAACUGAGCCUCAGGCAACCACUUGCUCACUCCCUCACAAUUGGGGAAAGAAUGAGAAAAAUAAAAGUAAAAAAAACUCAUGGGUUGAGAUAAAGACAGAUUAAGAGGUAAACCAAAAGCUACACAAGCAAAUAAAGGAAAGCAAUGAAUUAAUUCCCCUGUUCCCAGGGGCAGGCAGGUCUUCAGCUAUCCCAAAGAAGGCAAGGCACCAUCAUGGGUAACAAUGAUUUGGGAAGACAAAUGCCAUCACUCCAAAUGGUUCCCUUUUACUUCAUCUUCCUCCAGAUUCAUGUACUGAGCAUGACUCCAUAAGGUCUGGGAUAUCUUCAUGGUCAGUGUCAGCUGUACUGGCUGUUUUUCUAUCAAUUCCUUGUGCACCCCCAGCCUGCUCACUGGUGGGGUGGGGUGAGAAGCAGAAAUGGUCUUCACACUGUGCAAGUGUUGCUCAACAGUAACUAAAACAUCUCUGUGUUAUCAGCACUGGUUUUAGUACAAAUCUAAAACAGAAUCCUACACUAGGCGCAGUGAAGAAAUUCAACUCCACAAGUAUCUAAACCAGCUCAAUAUUUAAAGUCCUAAGUCCUGUUAUAUUAAAUAGCUCUUUACUACACACAGUAUAGAAAAAGAUGGUGCAUCUAGCAGGAACAAGCUUUCACAAGAAUAAUGGGAAUUGUAAGAAAUGCUAGAAUUACAAUGUUUUUCUAUAUUCACUGUGAUAUUGUCUUUAUUGAGAUGAUCAGUUCUACUUACGCACAUGAUAAAAUGUUGGAAAGUAGCAAAGUUGUUUAUUUAGAGAAGUGGGAACACAGGCACUUAUAUGGAUCUUUCUUUUCUUUGAAGAGUGGGAGAGCUCUUAGUACCAUGAACAGCAGAAUAACCUGAGUUGGAAGGGACUUCCAACUGAGGAGCAUGGAACUUCUGACUUCACACAGAGGAAACUAAAAUUUAAACUGUUGUCCAGUGUAGGGUUAGGAGGUUGACUUGGGGACAUGACUAUUUUCCUAGGAAUAUUGUUCAACUGCUUGACCAAUCCUUCAGUAAAGAGCCUAUUCCUAAUCCACAAUCUGAACUUCCCCUGCUGCAGUUUUAAAUCAUUGCCAUGGGUUCUUUCACUGGACACCAGAGAAGAGAUCAGCAGCUCCCUUCCAUUUACGCAGAAGGUUGUAUUGGUUUGGCAUGGCCUGGUUUUAGUAGCAGAGGGGACACGAAGACGGCUUCUGUGAGAAGCUGCCAGGAGUUUCCACCAUGUCUGGCAGAGGCAAUCCCUGAUGGCUCUGAAGGUGGACAUGCUGCUGGCCAAAGCUGGGCCAGUGAGAAAGACUGGUAUCGCCUCUGUGGCAAUCUAUUUAAGAAGAAAAUCAAAACAAAUUCAGGUGGGCUUUUCUUCCAGUCAGAGAAAAGGAGGAGGUAAGAAUACGUAAGAGAAACAAGGUGGAGACACCGCGGUGAGUGGAGAAGCAGGGGCAGGAGGUGCUCCAGGCGCCGGAGCCGAGGUUCCCCUGCAGGCCGCGCUGAUGACCGCGGUGAAGCAGCCGUGCCCCGCAGCCCAUGGGGAUCCCCGGGGAACGCAGAGAUCCACCCGCAGCCCCUGGGGGAGGUGCCCACGCCGGAGCGGUGGGUGCCCGGAGGAGGCCGUGAUGCAGUGGGAGAGGCGGAGGAGAGCGAGGGCCCUGCUUGCAGGCCGGAGCGGCCUGUCCUUGGAGGAUGCGGCCCGUGGAGGAGAGAGCCCCGCUGCAGCAGUUUGGGGAGCGCUGUGCGGCCCUGGGGGCAGCUCCCGCUGCAGCAGCUGCGCUUUGGCUGCUGCUCUGAGAGCGGCCCCACGCCAGGGAAGUUCCCGGAGAGCUGUUCCCUCCGGCAGGGACCCCUCGGCCUCACGGGGGAAGGACUCCUCUCCCGGGGCAGUAGAAAAAAAUCUCAGUGGUGAGCUGACCCCAUGCCUGGUCUCCCUGCGUUGUCCAUGGGAAGGAUAGAGAGGUUGGGAGGAAAAUGGUGGUUUAAGGGCUUAUUUUACGUCUCGUUAUCCUCCUCUGCUUCUGCUAGUAAUAAAUUCGCUUUGCAACUUAA